rnacentral:rRNA from 1 species
GACGAACGCUGGCGGCGUGCUUAACACAUGCAAGUCGAACGAUGAUCCGGUGCUUGCACCGGGGAUUAGUGGCGAACAGGUGAGUAACACGUGAGUAACCUGCCCUGGACUCAGGGAUAACCCCGAGAAAUCGGAGCUAAUACCGGAUAGGACCUGGAACCGCAUGGUUUUGGGUGGGAAGUUUUUCGGUCUGGGAUGGACUCGCGGCCUAUCAGCAUGUUGGUGAGGUAAUGGCUCACCAAGGCGUCGACGGGUAGCCGGCCUGAGAGGGUGACCGGCCACACUGGGACUGAGACACGGCCCAGACUCCUACGGGAGGCAGCAGUGGGGAAUAUUGCACAAUGGGCGCAAGCCUGAUGCAGCAACGCCGCGUGGGGGAUGACGGCCUUCGGGUUGUAAACCUCUUUUAGUAGGGAAGAAGGGCUUCGGCUUGACGGUACCUGCAGAAAAAGCACCGGCUAACUACGUGCCAGCAGCCGCGGUAAUACGUAGGGUGCGAGCGUUGUCCGGAAUUAUUGGGCGUAAAGAGCUCGUAGGCGGCUCAGUAAGUCGGGUGUGAAACCCCCAGGCUCAACCUGGGGACGCCACCCGAUACUGCUGUGGCUAGAGUCCAGUAGGGGAGUGUGGAAUUCCCGGUGUAGCGGUGAAAUGCGCAGAUAUCGGGAGGAACACCA